CGUUAGCGGCGGACGGGUGAGUAACACGUGGAUAACCUACCUAUAAGACUGGGAUAACUUCGGGAAACCGGAGCUAAUACCGGAUAAUAUAUUGAACCGCAUGGUUCAAUAGUGAAAGACGGUUUUGCUGUCACUUAUAGGUGGAUCCGCGCCGCAUUAGCUAGUUGGUAAGGUAACGGCUUACCAAGGCAACGAUGCGUAGCCGACCUGAGAGGGUGAUCGGCCACACUGGAACUGAGACACGGUCCAG
rnacentral:rRNA from 1 species